UUCCAGCUCCAAUAGCGUAUAUUAAAGUUGUUGCAGUUAAAAAGCUCGUAGUUGAAUUUCGGGGUUAGUAGGCUGGUCAUGCCUCCGGUAUGUACUGGUCUCACUGAUUCCUCCUUCCUGAUGAACCGUAAUGCCAUUAAUUUGGUGUUGGGGGGAAUCUGGACUGUUACUUUGAAAAAAUUAGAGUGUUUAAAGCAAGCUAACGCUUGAAUACAUUAGCAUGGAAUAAUGAAAUAGGACGUUCGAUCUUAUUUUGUUGGUUUCUAGGAUUGACGUAAUGAUUAAUAGGGAUAGUUGGGGGCAUUAGUAUUCAAUUGUCAGAGGUGAAAUUCUUGGAUUUAUUGAAGACUAACUACUGCGAAAGCAUUUGCCAAGGAUGUUUUCAUUAAUCAAGAACGAAAGUUAGGGGAUCGAAGACGAUCAGAUACCGUCGUAGUCUUAACCAUAAACUAUGCCGACUAGGGAUCGG
rnacentral:rRNA from 1 species